rnacentral:rRNA from 1 species
GAUGAACGCUGGCGGCGUGCCUAAUACAUGCAAGUCGAGCGAACGGACGAGAAGCUUGCUUUUCUGAUGUUAGCGGCGGACGGGUGAGUAACACGUGGAUAACCUACCUAUAAGACUGGGAUAACUUCGGGAAACCGGAGCUAAUACCGGAUAAUAUUUUGAACCGCAUGGUUCAAAAGUGAAAGACGGUCUUGCUGUCACUUAUAGAUGGAUCCGCGCUGCAUUAGCUAGUUGGUAAGGUAACGGCUUACCAAGGCAACGAUGCAUAGCCGACCUGAGAGGGUGAUCGGCCACACUGGAACUGAGACACGGUCCAGACUCCUACGGGAGGCAGCAGUAGGGAAUCUUCCGCAAUGGGCGAAAGCCUGACGGAGCAACGCCGCGUGAGUGAUGAAGGUCUUCGGAUCGUAAAACUCUGUUAUUAGGGAAGAACAUAUGUGUAAGUAACUGUGCACAUCUUGACGGUACCUAAUCAGAAAGCCACGGCUAACUGCGU